rnacentral:rRNA from 1 species
CAAACUGAAGAUGGCGACCGGCGCACGGGUGAGUAACACGUAUCCAACCUGCCGAUAACUCUGGAAUAGCCUUUCGAAAGAAAGAUUAAUACCGGAUAGUAUACGAAUAUCGCAUGAUAUUUUUAUUUAAAGAAUUUCGGUUAUCGAUGGGGAUGCGUUCCAUUAGGUUGUUGGCGGGGUAACGGCCCACCAAGCCUUCGAUGGAUAGGGGUUCUGAGAGGAAGGUCCCCCACAUUGGAACUGAGACACGGUCCAAACUCCUACGGGAGGCAGCAUG